rnacentral:misc_RNA from 1 species
UUUUUUUUCAAUGCAAUGCAAGCAGCUCUUUUCUUUAUUAUAUGGAAAUAGUAAAACAUUAUACUAGAGAUUACAAUUUGAAUUUGGCAUCACUCCCUUUCUUAUGCUCCAUCAACAACAUUACUUCCUGGUGUUUCUGGUACUAAGAAAAUGUUACUGAAGUUCUAAAUGAUACUCAGAAAUUUGACAUGAGAAAAGAAAGAAGAGAACCCAGAUGGAUAUCAGGAGUUGGAUACUUAUGCAGCCGCGGAGAUGCACUCAAUCGCCUGCUUGCAUAUACUAGUCAUUGUUGCUUCAGGCCCGUAAACCUCUAUUGGAAGUCCAAUUUCUUCUCCAAGUGACCUCAUUUUUGCAAGGCCUUUCUGGUAAUUAGGACCUCCUCUCCUCACAUACAUGUGCAUCCUUGCUGCUUUAAGCUUAGAUUCCUAAAAGAUCAAAAUACCAAUAUCCUGAUUAGCAUUGGUGAAAGCAAAGGAAAACAUUCAGAUUGAGAUUAAAUUUGAAACAGUCAGUUUUCUUAAAGGUUUGGCACGUCACAGUAGAGGGUUUUGGAUCUUAGUUAUGACAAGGGACUUUCAGUAGAAGUAGGAUUAACUUCAUAUUACCUUAGCUCUGCUAUUACAUUCAGGGUUAAAAGAAUAAAAAGAAGAGCCUAAUAAGUUUAUGCAAACCUUUUCCUUCAAGGCUCGAAUUAUGCCAUUAAAUGUAGCAGCUACAUCAGUGAAGUUAGCAAUCCCUCCUCCAAUUACAAGGGCUCUCUUACGGCCAUCAGGAUCAGAAGUUGCACAAUCAAUUACAACUCUGGCAUACUGCAAUACUUCCUCUUCAUUGGGGGCUCCACUAUAUUCUGCAUAAUUCCCAAGCUCAGAAGCAUAACCAAGAUCUCCAACUGUAUCUGCAUAGAUGACACUUGCACCUCCUCCAGCCACCAUAGUCCAAAUUCGCCCCUUUGGAUUCAGAACUGUGAAUUUCAAAGAUGCACUUGUCUUUUCAUCUAGUCCAUGAAUAAAGCUCUCUGUGGAGCUCAUAACUCUACCAAAUGGCAUUGGAAAUCCAAUGUUGCCCCACUUCUUGAAAUUCUUGAAAGCAGCAGUGUCAUCCAGCUCGCCUCUCAUAUCCAAGGGAUAAGGCUUUCCAUUAACCAAAGUGAAAGGAUUCAUCUCUAGGAAAGUGAAGUCAAGAUCUUGAAAUAGAGCAAAAACUGAUUUAAUAAACUCCUCAAUUUCUCGUUUUAUCUCCAAUGGAAGGGUUGCAACAAGUGGAGCGCAUGUUUCUGAUGUAAAUGAUGACCCUGUUGGAACAUAUAUAGUCUUAACCUUAUCCCAAUUCUCUUCAAUUUCAAUUCCUCCACAUUCUGAAAAGCUUAUGCUGCACCCAAGUCGCUCCGAGACAAUAUUAAGGUAAAACUCCUCAUUGUGGGGGAUGAAAGGUUCAACAAUGAAUGUUGUUAUAGGUCCUUUACAUCCACUCAUCUCAACCUCUUUUCCAAGGCGUUCUUUCACAAAAACAGCAACUUCAGCCAAAUCUAGAUUUAAAGCAACUAGACCACUCUUCCCACGCUUCCCAAACAGCAUGUCAGGCUUCACAACCAGUUUUCCUGACAAAAGCCAGGGUUCCUUCUCUGCUAGCUCCUUGAAAUCAGUUGAUUCUGUAACUUGUGCGGAUUUGAUGGGUAAUUCAUAGCCAGAAAGCCUCUUGAAAUGAUCCUUCAACAAUCUCUUGGAGUCGUACUCUCUGAUCUUCUUGCGUGCCAUUUGUUUACCGUUGGCAGAGAAGGAAAGUGGGAAGAUUAAUGGGUUAGGUAGUUUGAGAGCUACAACAAGAAGCACAAAGACUUGUAUUUGGUGGGGCUCUAAAAGCUUAUUUAUAGUGAGAAAUUCAGCAUAAUUUAUUGAAAUUUUUAAAAGAAAAUCUGAAAAUAAAAGAAAAUGAGUUUGUUGGGUUUGGAAUUCAGAAUCGAUAUUCGUUCGCGGGAACUUAUUAACCAUGUCUUGUUGGUAACCACAUGCGGCACCUACCAUCCAGGACCAACGUUUCAACCGCUGAUCUCUUCGUAAUUUUUCUGG